ACCAGUUUGGCUCAGUGGAUAGAGCGUUGGCCUGCAGACUCAAGGGUCCCAGGUUCAAUUCCGGUAAAGGGCA
rfam:Myotis davidii contig12155, whole genome shotgun sequence.